rnacentral:rRNA from 1 species
UACGGAGGGUGCAAGCGUUGUCCGGAUUUAUUGGGUUUAAAGGGCGCGUAGGCGGCUUGGCAAGUGGAUGGUGAAAUCCCUCGGCUUAACCGAGGAACUGCCGUCCAAACUGCUUCGCUUGAGACCGGGAGAGGUGAGUGGAAUUCCCAGUGUAGCGGUGAAAUGCGUAGAUAUUGGGAGGAACACCAGUGGCGAAGGCGGCUCACUGGACCGGUACUGACGCUGAUGCGCGAAAGCGUGGGGAGCAAACGGG